CUCAGCUAAGUAUCAUGCAUUAGGUGGGCUCAGGUGGUCACUUAUUGGUGCCUGUCAAAGGCAGAAAACAAACUCAACAGUCGUCACAAGGGAGACCAGGCCACUAGAAUAUUGGGACAAGGAGCAGGUCUGAAGCAGGAAAAAGAAGAGGGGUGGGGAGACAGCAAAGCAGGGGACCCCUGGCAGGGGUCGGCUGUCCAUAAAUCCAAGUUUCUCUCCUCGAACCCCACCCCUCUUCCUCCAGUCCGGAAAAGGCUUCCUCCUGGGAGACCCCCAGUGAAAUGAGCUGUUCUUAUCUCCUGAGCCUGGAAAUCCUUUUACUUCUCUUUAACCGGUUCACCAGCACGUGGUCUUCGAUCCCAGCCAGCAACUCCCUCUCAACUUGGGACCCGAACCCAGAGACUGGAAGAGCUGGGAGUUCCACAAGGAUCUGACUAGUAAGGGCUUCUUCCCGGCCUACUUGGUAAAGCCACGUGCUCGCGGCCUCCUAGGGUAGGGGCGUUCUGGAAUGUUGCUGCCCACAGAGCUUUCCCAGGCUUCAGCGCUGCCCUGCGGGCGCACAGACGCGCUCCCGCGGCAGCACACCCACGGGCUCUCCCGAGCGCGUACACGUGCACCCACGCGGAGGCAAGAUCCACACAGCUGCCUCUGUCAGGCAGGCACGCAAGGGGUGUUGUGUUUGAGGUGUAAACGGCUCUCGCUUGUCCUCCGUCUCCUCCUUCCUCUUCUUCCAACCUGUUUCCUCAGGGCUCCGGGUCCAGUCCCGGGUUUAGGAAUCAGCGCCAAACUCCCGGAGGCUUUGUUCAGAAGACGCCUCCUCCCUCCAGGUCCGCGGGCGCCGCGGGUCCCGGGCUCCAGGGCGAGCUCCGCGGAGCCGGGGCGGCGCGGAAGGAUCCGAGUUCCAGAGCUGCAGGCAAACUCGUUCGGGCAGAGGGACUGCGCGGCGACACCUCCGACACCUCCGAAAAAUAGACCAAAGGGACCCCGCGGAGCAGGACAUCGGCGGACACCACCGCGGUCCGGAGGAGUCUGCUUAAAGCCAUCAGCGCCUCCCCAGUGGCUUUCUCUCCAGUGAAAGAAGCCGGUUUCUGACAAGUCCAGGGCAAAGAAAAACCUGCGGCGAACUAAGUCCGGGGACUCUCCGAGAAACAGAGUGCUUCCAUCUUCUCCUCACUUAAAACUUGGCCGCUUCUGGGACUUCACUGAGGGACGGCGGAGUCGCACCAGCGUGGACCACAAGCAGAGGCGAGCGAGCACUGCCAAAUACUUUUGGACGCGGGGGUGGCCCCUUUUUGCUUCAGGAUUGCCCCCUGGCCACCCUUCCCUGCUGAGCUGAUAGGGACGGCUAAAGACCUGGAGAUAAAGGUUUGCAGUUCCCCUUGGGGCUCAAAGUAUAGAGAGCCGCCGAAUGAGUAACCCAAAGAGCUUACAUUGCUGGACUAAAUAACUUCUUUUUCGUUUUCUAUUUUAUAUUUUUUUCCCAGUGCCCGGACUGAGAUGAGGAGAGGGAACACUUAAGCCACUAGUCUGCACCUGAAUUUCAAUCUGGUGGCCACCAGUCGGCAGUAAGAUGAUACGCUCACGUGGGUGAGACCAGACCACAGGGUUUGGCUUUUUUACAAAGGAGUAUAGAUUUUGAAAACUAAUUACAGGACUAAUGUCAGAGUUGGACCAAGGCUGAACACCAAAGAAUUGAUGCUUUCCAACUGUGGUGCUGGAGAAGACUCUUGAGAGUCCCUUGGACAGCAAAGAGAUCAAACCAGUCAAUCCUAAAGGAAAUCAACCCUGAAUUUUCACUGGAAGGACUGAUGCUGAAACUGAAGCUCCAGUACUUUGGCCACCUGAUGUGAAGAACUGAUGCAUUGGAAAGAACCUGAUGAAAGACUGAGGGCAGGAGGAGAAGAGGGCAACAGAGGGUGAGAUGGUUGUAUGUCUUCACUGACUCAAUGAACAUGAGUCUAAGCAAGCUCCAGGAGAUAGUGAAGGACAGGGAAGCCUGGCAUGCUGUAGUCUAUGGGGUUGCUAAGAGUUGGGCACGAUUGAGCAGCUGAACAGCAGCAGAAUCUAUGGAAUCAAUUAUGUAUGGCAAUGUUAAAUUUUAUGGAAGAUGACAAAUCAUGGCAUUUUCAGGUCAAAAUUCAUGUAUUAGAUAGUGGUUUUCAUUUACCAAAUGUAGAUCUGCAAUAACUUAUACUAUAUGAAUAUAAAAGCAAAAAUAGAUAUUCUAGAGAAGGAGAUAUGACUGUAGAAGGUCAGAGAGAUGCAACACUGAUAGCUUUGAAGAUGGAAGGGGACCAUGAGCCAAGGAAUGCAGUCUCUAGAAUGUGAGGAGGAACUACUAGUAGCCUUAUAGGAGGAAGAAAUCACAGAGGUCCCUCUCAGUCAUGUGAGGACUUAGUAAGAAGGCAUUUAUCUGCAAUCAGGAAGAGCCCUCACCAGAACCUGACCAUGCUGACAACCUGAUCUCAGAUUUCUAACCUCUUAUAUAAAAAAAAAAGUUCUAGAUUUCUCUACUUGCGUCCUAGAGCCAGAGAAUUAAGAGUAGUAGUAGAAACUUCAGAAUUUGGGAAAUGUUUCACAGAGUGCCUAGCAGUAAGGGAAAUCUUGAUGCCUAAAAAUAUUUUAUAGGUUUGGGAUUACUACUAGCUAGAGUGUGCUGAUAAAUGUUUACCAACCAAGGGGGAUUUGGGGAAGGGAGGAGAAAAGGUCUGAUACGUAAUCUUUGUCUUUGGUUUAAAUGAUUCAGACUUGGGUGGUUUCAAGCUACUGUAUGAGACCAGUGACCACAGAUUUUGGAAGAGAUACACACAAUGUGCUUUAACUGUUGUAGGAGGGUGGGGGGGGCCUGUCCAGGACCCCAAGAGCAGGCUCUUAUCUAACACUAGGAAAAGAAUUGUCCAAGGAGACACGUGCUGACAAAGCAAGAGACUUUCCUGGAAGAGACUUUAUCAGGUGGAGAGCAGCAGGGUAAGGGAACCCAGGAGAACUGCUCUGCCACGUGGCUCGCAGUCUCGGGUUUUAUGGUGAUGGGAUUAGUUUCCGGGUUGUCUUUGGCCAAUCAUUCUGAUGCAGAGUCCUUCCUGAUGGUGCAUGCAUUGCUCAGCCAAGAUGGACGCUAGCAAGAGGGAUUCUGGGGAGUGUAUGGACAUGCAGUGUCUCCUUUUGCUCUUUCCAGAACUCCUCCAGUUGGUGGUGGCUUAUUAGUUCCAUAUUCCUUACCAGGAUCUCCUGUUGUAAAACAACUUAUGGGAAUGGUUACUAGAGAGCCUGGCCAGGGUGGGCGGUUUCAGAGUGCUUCCCCUAACAUAACUAGCCAAUAAACUGGCCCCAACAUACAAAUAGCUAUAGGGCUCUGAAAGUUUCCUCACAUGGUUCCAUUAUUAAACAUCCCAUUGCUCUAACUGCUGCUUUAGUCACUCAAUCAUGUCCAGCUCUUUGCGACCCCAUGGACUGUAGCCCACCAGGCUCCUCUGUCCAUGGGAUUCUCCAGGCAAGAAUACUGGAGUGGGUAGCCAUUCCCUUCUCCAGGGGAUCUUCCUUACCAAGGGACUGAACCUGGGUCUCCCACAUUGCAGGCGGAUUCUUUACCACAUGAGCCACCAGGGAAGUCUAAAUUCUCUGCCAGAUGCUCUCAGGAAAUCUGGUGGUGGUGUUUGUGGGGGUGGAGGUAUGAUUUUCUCCAAUUGGGAUCAUGUCUUUGAUGUAGUAUUAAAAGAUAAUUUUUAAAAAAUCUUCUUUACAUUUAGUAGGCUGUUGAAGAACUACUUUAUAAAAAGUACCUGCAAUUCUCUUAUUUUAUUCAUUAUUAAGUUUUUUAAUGUGGUGAGCUAUUUUUCUUCUGACUCUCAUACAAUUUGUGUUUGUUUCAUACUGCUACAUAUUAGAGAAUUCUACAGUAUACAGGGCCUGAUAAAACUUCGAACGUUGAACAUUUUAAUUCAUAUAUGAAAUAAUUUGCAUAUAUUAAUUUUAUAUAUGUAAAUGAAGCUGUUUAUUAAUUUCAGAAAAGAAUCCUUUUACCCAAGUGUUUUGAGUAAGUAAUUUUUAGGAUUUUUAAUUGAAUUAUGUAUGUAAUCAUUAUUAAGGAUACCUGAAGUAAGUUACUUUGUAAUUUUUUAAACUACUCUGCAAGUCUGAAAGUGUUGAAUAAAUAUUUAAGUAUUGAGUCAGACUAAUUUGGAUAGAAAACCUGAAAAUGUUACUAAGUUAUCAAAAUAGAUUAAAAAAAGACUUUUCAAGUACAAGCAUCAUUUUUAAACUUAUAAGAAGAUAAAUGAAAAUUAUAUUUUCCUAGAAAUGCUAAAAAGAUAUAAAAUAUUCAUGGACUUCCCUGGUGGCUCAGACAGCAAAGCAUCUGUCUACGAUGCAGGAGACCCAGGUUCGAUCCCUGGGUUGGGAAGAUCCCUUGGAGAAGGAAAUGGCAAUCCACUCCAGUACUAUUGCCUGGAAAAUCCCAUGGACAGAGGAGCCUGGUAGGCUACAAUCCAUGGGGUCUCGAAGAGUCACACACGACUGAGCGACUUCACGUUCACGUUCACAUUCACAUUAUUCAUAAGAUAAAUUUUAAAUAUCAUAGUCACUGAGAUAUUUUCAGUGUCCUAUAAGGAUUUUAUGUUCUUAGAAGUUUAUGUAGAAAUAAUGAAUACUUUAGGAACAGUUACAUAUCAAUGAUAAGGUUUCUCUACUUUGAAAGAGUUAAGAAAGAAAAUAUAAUGGUAAAAUAAAAUAUAGAUGUUAUUAAUAUUACUUAUCAAAAGAAGAAUUCUAGUCUAUAUUCGUUAAUCUGUUAAAUGGGGGAGCUAUUGCAUUACACAAAAUACUGGCCAGUUCUGUUCAUCUAAGCAUUUUCCUUUGAUUAAAACUAUUUGUAAUAAAUGAUGACCCAAGGCUUUGUAAAUGAUAUCUUAACUGGGGUCACGGUCUAAUGAAAUUGUAUCUUGAAAGGAGUUUCAAUUACUAGACUUAUAAAAUAUGAGUCUACUUAUUACAUUUAAAGUGAGGCAUCAGUUCAUUCUAUAAAAACAAUACGUAUUGGUUAAUAUCCAGUUUUUGGACCAACACUUAUUAGGCUUUACAUGAGAGAGGUUGUUUAUCUGAAGAGCAUGAAAAAUACCAUUCCUCAAAAGUAAAUGCCCUGCUGUUGUUUGUUUUGCUUCCCUUAAAAUCCAGAUAGAUCUGGCAAGUCUCUUAAUCCCAUUAAGGGUGAGAAAGAAGAAGAGGAAUGCAUUACAAACUUCAGUUCUGUUCAGUUGCUCAGUCGAGUCUGACUCUUUGCGACCCCAUGAAUCGCAGCACGCCAAGCCUCCCUGUCCAUC
ensembl:lncRNA